AACUCACAAAGCCCUCUCUCCCCUCCUAAAACCCUAACUCAUUACUCAGUCUUUCACCAAAUCCAACGGCACAACCGAGUCAUCUGAGUCAGCACAUUGAUUCAUUCGUUAACUUGUCCAGCUCUUCCGCUCACCAGGCUGCAAGUUUGGAUGCAGUUGUUUCCUUGUUGAAGAAUAAUGUGUUGACUAUAGAAAAACUGGUUAGAGAGAUGGAUAUGUAUUUGACUACCACUGAUGAUGUCACUCGUGCAAGAGGGUGAAGACUUUCUCUACGGAAUCUGUAAAGCUAUUGAUGGGGAGAAGGAUCCACAGUGCUUAAUGCUAACUUUUUGCAUUGUUGAGGUUGUGGCACAAGUAUUUCCCGAUGAUCUGCUUGCAAGUUUUGCCAGCGACCUUUUUGAAAUUUUAGGCUGUUCCCCAUUCAUUUU